rnacentral:rRNA from 1 species
UACGUAGGGUGCGAGCGUUGUCCGGAAUUAUUGGGCGUAAAGAGCUCGUAGGCGGUCUGUCGCGUCUGCUGUGAAAACCCGAGGCUCAACCUCGGGCCUGCAGUGGGUACGGGCAGACUAGAGUGCGGUAGGGGAGAAUGGAAUUCCUGGUGUAGCGGUGGAAUGCGCAGAUAUCAGGAGGAACACCGGUGGCGAAGGCGGAUCUCUGGGCCAUUACUGACGCUGAGGAGCGAAAGCGUGGGGAGCGAACAGG